CUCCAACAACUUCAGAUAGGAAUUGGAAUCCUAAGGUCACCGAAGUCAAACGGAACUCUAGAGCUUAUCUAUUUAAGAGUCCUUUAACCCUAUAAUUAAGACCACCCAAAAUCGAUCACCACUGCCUCCUUUUUUUUUUUUCUUCUUCUACUUGAAUUCUCCAAACCUUAUUACCAUGACCACCAGAAUUGCAAUCACAACACUUGUGAAGCCAAGGUAAUAACCCCAAUCUCCCUUCUCCUAUGUUAAAACUCAUCAUUAGCCUAAAAAUCUACUAGAAAUUGAUCAAGAAAAACCUCCUAUUUGCUUUCUCUAUUACAUCCGUUUGUUUUUCUAUUUAUCCGGCUAUCACCAUUGCUAGUGCUAGUCGCUAAGACUCUCAACCACUACGCCAUGACUAAAUGCUAGAGCCAUAGCCUCUAAUAAGCGAGCUGGAACCCAAAAUUGAUCAAGCUAAGAGAUCUCCUUUUCGGCUAUGUUUUCAAAUCGAUCACAUGAUUCUCUGUCUCGAUCACCAACACUAGUCGCUCCCUAUUGCCUGAUGUCAGGCUAUUGGUUGUGCCACCAUUCCUCACUAGACCACCACCCCUUCCUUUUUGUUCCUCUUCCUUUAGAGAUGGCAUGAAGAGCCCUUCCUCCUCAUCUAUUUUACAAAAAGAAGAAGAAGAAGAAAGCAAAAAAAACAAAAAGGAUCCAAUCUCCCAUUUAAAUCCUUCUCUCUCGAUUUGAUCUAUGAUUCAGAGUUGAGGAUCUCGUAC
rnacentral:lncRNA from 1 species